ensembl:misc_RNA Metazoa_SRP Metazoan signal recognition particle RNA
GCCGGGCGUGGUGGCGGGCGCCUGUAGUCCCAGCUACUCGGGAGGCUGAGGCAGGAGAAUUGCUUGAACCCAGGAGGUGGAGCUUGCAGUGAGCCAAGAUCGCGCCACUGCACUCCAGCCUGGGUGACAGAGCGAGACUCCGUCUCGA